AGCGAACGCUGGCGGCAGGCCUAACACAUGCGAGUCGAACGGCUCUUCGGAGCAGUGGCGGACGGGUGAGUAACGCGUGGGAACGUGCCCUUUGGUUCGGAACAACACAGGGAAACUUGUGCUAAUACCGGAUGAGCCCUUUGGGGGAAAGAUUUAUCGCCAUUGGAGCGGCCCGCGUUGGAUUAGGUAGUUGGUGGGGUAAAGGCCCACCAAGCCGACGAUCCAUAGCUGGUCUGAGAGGAUGAUCAGCCACACUGGGACUGAGACACGGCCCAGACUCCUACGGGAGGCAGCAGUGGGGAAUCUUGCGCAAUGGGCGAAAGCCUGACGCAGCCAUGCCGCGUGAAUGAUGAAGGUCUUAGGAUUGUAAAAUUCUUUCACCGGGGAAGAUAAUGACGGUACCCGGAGAAGAAGCCCCGGCUAACUUCGUGCCAGCCGCCGCCGUAAGAC
rnacentral:rRNA from 1 species